GGGGAAUCAUAGGGUCAAACACUCACAGCAGCUGCUAAGCUGUUUGCGUGGGAAGCCUGGGAGGGCUGAGAAGCAAGCGGUGGCUUCACGCUCAGGUCAGGGAGAUGGAGCGGAGGUGAGUUGCGGCGGCAGGCACAAGGAGGGCCACAGGCCGUGGCAGGUAACCCCCUGCUUCCCCCACAGCUACACUACCCCAGGAGCCAGAGGGACCUGCCAGAUUCUUCCCAGGCGCUGCUCCAGACAUCUCCCAGCAAUGGAACCAACAUCCUUGCAGCCUCACAACCAUCCCAGGACAGACAAUCUGCAACUGAGAUUUACUUUUCCCCUCCUCAUCCCCUCCCUCCCUUCAGACUCCAGUUGGUUUCUCUCAUUCACUUACGGCCUUUUGUCAUAACCUAGACUCAGAUCAUACAAAGACUUUGGCAUAAAAAUAACUUUACCCACUUGAGUCCCUUUGACACUACAGAGAGCAACAUGAAGGGGCCCCCAUCCUCCACAGGCAGAUAUAGGAAUAAUAAUAAAAUCAUUUCAUAAAUGUGGAAACUGAGGCAGGGGAAGGUUGACUCUAUGGGCCAGAUUCACCCCAAUGCUGGCAAAAGGAGAGAGGGGAGGGGCCAUUUGUGACUCUGCUAUUCAGUGGCUGCAGGGGCUGGUGCAGACCUUGGCACAGGCAGAGGAAGUUCUGAACCAGCCAGCGCUACAUCCCUAUGAUAAUGGCCCCUGUGUGUCUUGUCCAGUGUGCAGAGUGUCAGAGGCCCAGCUUUACACGGCCCAUGUCGCUCUGUCCCUCGUCCACCUGCUCCCUCUUCCACUCACCCUCACCACCCCCACCCCAUUCCCAGCCCUCUCAGGAACACGCCUUGUGCCUGCAGCUGCUGGGGAGGAGGCACCAGAGGCUCUUGUGCUAGAGAGAUGGCAGGUGGGUGAAUGGCUGGUUUGGGGAGGCCAGUCGUCCCCCCCAAGUCCUGUCCUUUCUACUGAAGCUACUUCCAUGCCCACUGGAGCCCACCCAGACCCAUUGUAGCCGCUAGCUCCUGCCCAGCACACCCAGCCCAUGGAGUGUCGGCCAGCUCCAGCCUUCCCAGUCACAGAGCACCAGGGGGCCG